rnacentral:rRNA from 1 species
CCUGGGAACUGCGUUNUGAACUGGGUGACUAGAGUGUGUCAGAGGGAGGUAGGAUUCCACGUGUAGCAGUGAAAUGCGUAGAGAUGUGGAGGAAUACCGAUGGCGAAGGCAGCNUCCUGGGAUAACACUGACGUUCAUGCCCGAAAGCGUGGGUAGCAAACAGGAUUAGAUACCCUGGUAGUCCACGCCCUAAACGAUGUCGAUUAGCUGUUGGGCAGCAUGACUGCUUAGUAGCGAAGCUAACGCGUGAAAUCGACCGCCUGGGGAGUACGGUCGCAAGAUUAAAACUCAAAGGAAUUGACGGGGACCCGCACAAGCGGUGGAUGAUGUGGAUUAAUUCGAUGCAACGCGAAGAACCUUACCUGGCCUUGACAUGUACGGAACCCUCCAGAGACGGAGGGGUGCCUUCGGGAGCCGUAACACAGGUGCUGCAUGGCUGUCGUCAGCUCGUGUCGUGAGAUGUUGGGUUAAGUCCCGCAACGAGCGCAACCCUUGUCAUUAGUUGCCAUCAUUAAGUUGGGCACUCUAAUGAGACUGCCGGUGACAAGCCGGAGGAAGGUGGGGAUGACGUCAAGUCCUCAUGGCCCUUAUGACCAGGGCUUCACACGUCAUACAAUGGUCGGUACAGAGGGUAGCCAAGCCGCGAGGUGGAGCCAAUCUCACGAAACCGAUCGUAGUCCGGAUUGCACUCUGCAACUCGAGUGCAUGAAGUCGGAAUCGCUAGUAAUCGCAGGUCAGCAUACUGCGGUGAAUACGUUCCCGGGUCUUGUACACACCGCCCGUCACACCAUGGGAGUGGGGGAUACCAGAAGUAGGUAGGGUAACCGCAAGGAGCCCGCNU